AACCCCUCAAGCUCAGCUUGGUGUUGGGUGCUUGUCCCGCCUCCGCGCGGCGACUCACCUCAAAAUCAGUGGCAGCCCGCACCCGCCGGCCGUGAGCGCAGCACAGUCGCGCCCUAGGCCGUUGGCAGGUCGGCUCUCCAGAAGCUCCUUCUUCCAC
rnacentral:misc_RNA from 1 species